GAUCCUACGGGGCGCAGCAGUGGGGAAUAUUGCACAAUGGGGGAAACCCUGAUGCAGCAACGCCGCGUGAGUGAAGAAGUUAUUCGUGAUGUAAAGCUCUAUCAGCAGGGAAGAAAAUGACGGUACCUGAGUAAGAAGCCCCGGCUAACUACGUGCCAGCAGCCGCGGUAAUACGUAGGGGGCAAGCGUUAUCCGGAUUUACUGGGUGUAAAGGGAGCGUAGACGGUGCAGCAAGUCUGAUGUGAAAGGUCGGGGCCCAACCCCGGGACUGCAUUGGAAACUGUUGAACUGGAGUACAGGAGAGG
rnacentral:rRNA from 1 species